UGUUGGAAUAGUUGGGCGAUUAUGAAAGACUAAAGAUACAAAGGCAAGACCUCUAAAACUGUUUACCAUGACAAUAUUGCCUCAGUGUUCAGAAUCUGUACAAAUAAGCAUCCAAAAAAGAUACCUGCAUUACAAUUGACCUUCAUAAUGACACGGAUUAAAAGGCACAGCUAGCUAUCCGAACAGAGCAUCACGAGCUCCAGAUGGUCAGAGGACAAAAUCAAAUUAGCUUCAACUGAAGUUUAGUUUGGUCGGGCCUUUGUAAACCUAACACACUCUGGGAACAGUCCCAUCCUCUCCCUGUAAACAGAUAGAGUGAUGUUCAUUGAUCAAAUAAACAAAUUGAUUGAUUGAUUGAUUGAUUGAUUGCCCUUUCUAUGCAGUCCGCUGUAAGGAGGACAACUAUUCCUGAGUCUCUGGCCGCCAGCCGGCUGUAUGUGAUGAACUGCAGGCUUAUAGGCUCAGUUGUGCAGAAGCAGAGCUAGGCAUGGUCAUAAUGUCUACACCAAUACACAAUAGACCUGUUUGUCUUUCUGUCUGACAAUCUACCUGCCCAAUUAUCUAACUAUUCAUACAUAACAAUGUCAAUGCAUUUACAGGCAGGGGGAUCUCAGAAACGGUAUCUCUGCUGGCCCUACGAUAACAGGACAUAGUUAGAUAGCUAAGUCUACAAAUGACCAGCGAAUGUACAUCAGCAAUACACUGAAAUAUUACACACAUGCCCCCACAAACAUUGAGACGAUCCUUUGGAAUUAGCCAGUUUAUGCACACUUCCAUUUCAAGUGUAUGUAAGUAAACUACUCUGGGUCACACAAAGCUGCAUACAUAUCCAAUACUGGCAACAACAAGCAAGUAUGGUACACUUUGAUGACAGACAUAAAACCACCAGAACAAACAUACACAUGCAUCUAUAUUACAUCUUGGGAUGUGGCCCAAGUAUAGGGUGUGAUGCAACCAAUGAACUUAUAAUUUAGUUUCUUUACACUUAGGCCACUACACUACACCUAUAGCCCAGCUGCCACUAUUGGAGGCUAUGGCAUGUGAGCAUGGCCCAGUACUUUCAGCAAAUUCUUACAGAUGUGAAGCGCUAAAUCUACAUCACCCUCAAACUUUGUUGAGGUUCAGGGCUAUUAAGCCACACACUCUGUGUGUUCAUGUAGUGUGUGUGUGUGUGUGUGUGUCUGUAAUAACUUUGCUCCCUAUCAGCUUUCUCAGUUUUCCUUUUUUUUCAGUGACAUUCCUGCUCGGGAGCCGACUAAAGCCCCAUGGUCCCAUAGGUCCCGUUUAGUGGAGUUGUGCCCCCCCCCCCCUAAGAUUGAUGUGAAAAGAUGGAGUUAUGUAACAGGUCCUCUGAGCAUCAUACUGCUGCUUAACUCCCCAAGUUAGGGAAGGAACCAGCUGGUCACAAAAGGUUGCAUAAUGGGCUUCCAACAUCACUAGAGUCCCCACACCCGAUGAAACACUGUGGGUCUAAAACAGAUAGUUUGGACCCCUGAGUAUGAUAUGCUUCCCACCCUACAGAAUAACACUAGCCUGGACUCAAGUUACAGUGACAGACACACUGACUGUUCAGCAAGUGGCCCAGCAUUGACUUGCAGUCUUAGCACCUUAUUUAGAGUCACUCAGACCCGUUCCUUCACUAGCUCUGGUUCACGGGAGGAGGGGGUGGAGAGGGAGAGAGUAGGAGACUGUUUUGCAGAGCGGUAUAUGCGUGGAAAGAACUUUUUGUGGUACAAAAACACUGUAUCAGAGGAUUUUUGGCCGGCUCCUUAAAGAUCACAGCCAGCGGUUUAGCGUUCUAAAACAUUCACACUCCAGUAAAUGAGCUUACAUACUGUGCAGGAGGGAUGUUUGUUUGCAGGCAAACCUGCUCAGAUCUGUCAAAUAAUGAACACUUAGCCUUAAAAUCCACAUUCUGUUUGCAACCAAAUGCAGAACCACACAAAAGCUACUGCUUCGCUAUCUAUAUCAUGGUUCAGCAACUGAAAGUGCCCUGCCUGGCCCUGAAAUGCGGCGAUUCUCUGUCAAUUCAGGAGAUGAGUGAAUGAGCGAUGCGUCUUUUACUGAAGGUUCUUACCGAUGUCGAUCCGGAGGACGAUGCUAUGUAAACUUUGAUCACCAUGUUCUUCUGCAAAAUCCCUGCGUGGUGCCGAGACAGUAAUCCCAAAAAAACAGAGCGAUUGUAAACAGAAAGACACACUCGCAGUGAAGACAGAAGAAAUAGACAAGCUCCUGCAAAAAAUAAUUUCUAUCACUAACAGCUGCAAUCUGUGCAGAGGCUUGUGUUCCAACCCUUGAUGGACUUCAAUAUUUUCUUAAGCCUCCGCCUCCCCUCCCCCUGUACUCCGCCCCCUCCCCUUUCUCUGCACUCCAGACUCGGUCAUCCAUUAGUGGCCAAAGUUUACCAUCACCACCUUUACUCAAAUGAUUACAAUUGUAUUGCCAGUACGUCUCAGAACAGUGGGCUCAUUGUAAAUCGUUCAAAUCACGUACUGGAAUGAGGAAGGCAAACACAUUCCGCACAGUUCAAAUGUCACCCCUAAAUGUCAUCUUUGUUGUGAUUACGGCUUUCGUGUUGCAAUACAUUCGUUGUCUUUGUUUUUUCUUAACUGCUGCUUCUUCCCUCGGCCUAGUCAAUUUACCCCUGUGUCAGCAACCAGAUGGAUGCGCUUCAGGUUCAGAACCGAGG
ensembl:lncRNA